rnacentral:rRNA from 1 species
AGAAUCAACGCUGGCGGCGUGCCUAACACAUGCAAGUCGAACGAGAAAGGGGUAGCAAUACCCUGAGUAAAGUGGCGCACGGGUGAGUAACACGUGACUAACCUACCCUUGAGUGGGGGAUAACUGAGGGAAACCUUAGCUAAUACCGCAUAAUACCCACGGGUCAAAGGAGCAAUUCGCUCGAGGAGGGGGUCGCGGCCGAUUAGUUAGUUGGCGGGGUAAUGGCCCACCAAGACGAUGAUCGGUAUCCGGCCUGAGAGGGCGCACGGACACACUGGAACUGAAACACGGUCCAGACUCCUACGGGAGGCAGCAGUGGGGAAUUUGCGCAAUGGGGGAAACCCUGACGCAGCAACGCCGCGUGGAGGAUGAAGUCCUUCGGGACGUAAACUCCUUUCGAUCGGGACGAUUAUGACGGUACCGGAAGAAGAAGCCCGGCUAACUUCGCGCCAGCAGCCGC